rnacentral:lncRNA from 1 species
UCUUCUUUUGUUGUCAAGUCCUUUUGAUAAAUGGUCGGGCUGGGAGCGCUGGGAGCCUGGAGCCCGUCUGUGCCCGCACAAGGGGCGGGGGCCGGGGCUGGAGACCCGGUUUAGACCUGCGCAGCACCCGGAGCUGAACUGGGUACGCGUGGGGGUCAGAUCUGGGACCUGCCCUCGGCGUGCUUGCCCUUUCCUCUCUCACCACCCUACCCCCUUUCCUCCUGUCUCUGUCUCCCACUCCGCACGGGUACCGAGAACUUUCUGGGGUGAGUUUUAGAAUUUCCUCUCAGGGUUUAUUUUUCUGCGUUUUAAUUUUAUCCCUUGAUCCUUUAGAUUGGUCAACUUUAUGAGAUGGUAACUUGACUAAAGCUAGAUUGGAGAGGACAGAAGAGAAUGCGGUCUUGUGCAUUUGGGACUGGGUUUGUGUGCAUGUAAGAACACACCUGCACUCAAGGGGUUUUGUAGUGUCUCUGUUCGAAAACUGAGGAAGGUAAGUCGGUGAGACCGUGGGGGAGAUCACAUGUGAGGUUGUGAAGGUUGUUUGAUCAUUGGAGUGCGAGUCCCAGGUGCUGGUUUCUAAGGACCAAAGAUUCUAAGCUGGCUCUGCGUGUCUGUAAAGCCUCUCUUAUUCUGCGGGUGUGUCUGCCCGCGAUACUGCACGGCAGUCUAGGUAUCAGCUGGGGCCAACUGCAGUGCUCCCAAUGUCGCGAGCUCGGCCUCGGGCUGCUUGUCGCCCAGGCCUCCCAAACAGGCCUGGACACCGAAUGGGGCAGCGGCCAUAGCUAGGAAUGACCGCACGCGGGGGGGGGGGG